rnacentral:misc_RNA from 1 species
AACGCACCUUGCGCCUCGUGGCUUUCCACGGGGCACGCCCGUUCGAGUGUCACGUUAACCCUCGCCAACCUGACGGUAAUGUCUGGGAAAGCGGACCUGGACGCUGCCGGUCGCCAGAUCGGCUCGUCUCAAAAUGCAUUAGCGGAGUGAGACGCGCGCGCGACGUUGAUAAUCGUCCACGCCUCGUGAGCGUCACACCUCGCUUCCAAUCGCCGUGAGGCAAUUUUCAAAGUUUGACCUCGAAUCGGGUGGGACUACCCGCUGAACUUAA